UAACACUUGGGCAAUCUGCCCUGCACUCUGGGACAAGCCCUGGAAACGGGGUCAAAUACCGGAUACUGAUCAUGUUGGGCAUCCUUGGUGAAAAAAAGCUCCGGCGGUGCAGGAUGAGCCCGCGGCCUAUCAGUUUGUUGGUGAGGCGCGGCUCCCCAAGGAGACGACGGGUAGCCGGCCUGAGGGGGCGACCGGCCACUCUGGGACUGACACACGCCCCACUCUUCUACGGGAGGCAGCAGGGGGGAAUAGUGCACAAUGGGCGAAAGUCUUACGCAGCCACCCCGCGUGAGGGAUGACGGCCUUCUGGUUAAAAAUCUUUUUCAGCAGGAAAAAAGCAAAAGUGACGGUACCUGCAAAAGACCCGCCGGCUAACUACGUGCCAGCAGCCGCGAAAAUACAUAGGGCGCGAGCGUUCUCCGGAAUUAUUGGGCAUAAAGAGCUCGUAGGCUGUUUGUCGCGUCGGUUGAGAAACCCCGGGGCUUACCCCGGGGUGUGCAGUCGAUACGGGGAGGAUAGAGUUCUGGAGGGGAGAUCAUAACUCGUGGUGUAGCGGAAAAGUGCGCAUAUCACAGGAGGAACACCGGUGGAAAAGGCAAUCUGUGGGGCCGAUACUGACGCUGAGGAGCAAAAGCGUGGGGAAGCAAAACGGAUUAUAUACCCGUGGUA
rnacentral:rRNA from 1 species